UAUUUUUAUCUUAAUUCCCUCAUGUGUCAUGUAGAGGUAAAUACACGUGUGUACAACGAAGACUGACAUAUCUCCCGAAGGAACUGUGCGUGAGUGUUGUAGAUUGUCGAUGGUAAUAACGAAAUCAGACAAUGCUGAUCGGAACAGAUAUGCUCAUAUUUGGAACACUGACUUUAAACAUUGUUGCGUCGGCGACUACGAUAUGUACAGAUCCCAGCAAAUUUCCUUUUGUAAAAUACAAUUUGAGGCUACCAGGUUUCAGCUACGUUUCCAUGUCUACAGAGGGACUUUUCAAAUGUGUUGCGAAUUGUCUGAAGAGAAAGUGGUGCAGAUCCUUCAAUUAUGACCUCACACGUGGAGACUGUGAAUUAAAUUUCGCCUCAUUGUCACUCGGAAGUAUCAACGACACUCAUCUGGAGCGAGCGAGUGGGUUUGUCUUCUCGGAAAUCACACACUGGCCACAGAAAAUGGCUGGUGCGUGUGCGAAUCACAACUGUACAACAGAAAGCGAAUGCGAAGAGAUCGACAAAAGUCAUUUCAGGUGUAUCGGAUAUGCAUCAUCAUGUGGAAAAGUAAAAGAAUGUGACCCAUCAAGCCCUGAUGGUGAGUACUGGCUUCGCCUGCCGAACUUUGGUCUGUACAGAACCCGGAUCUACUGUCACAACAUGAACACCAGCAACCCCGUGGAGUACCUGACACUGCCCACUCCUAACUAUGGAAUUUAUCCGAAGUUGUCGAAUCCCAUCUGCGCAGGUGAAACAGGCCUCACUUUCAGCUGUGUCGGACAAGGAGGGGGGAGGUGUGGUACAACAAGAUUAGAGUGAAAAUAGAGAACAUGGAGGUUGAGCGAAACGACGUAACUUUUGCCAACUUGACCAACUACAAGAUACACUAUGCAGAGGCCAUAGACUGCUAUUCACGCCAUGAGAAUGGCGUUGUCAGCUCGUGUGGAACCAGGGGUGAAUUUACCGUGAAUCUCACAGGGACAGGAUGGGCAGUAAGAGCUGACCAAUCAUGGACAGUUGUUGGCUGGCGAGCUGUUAUAGAAUCCAUUGUUCGGAGUGGGACUGGAUCCGUCGUUCAUUUGAAGUGUGGUGGACGGCGCGGACAUUGUCAUCCCACAGACGCCUUAACCCUGACAGUUCUGCAGACUGAAGCUAUUGAAGAAUCGUCAGCCACAGAAGUGAAAUGCUAUUAGCGAGGAAGACAAUGAUUGUACUGUGAAUCUAAUCCAUGCCUGUGUGGCUCAGACUACUUUUCCCAUUAUUGAGUGAAUAAAAUGACAGACAACGUUUGCAUAUUACAUGUACAAAUACUCACAUGAGUGCAAUAGUUAUUUAUUAGAUAUGCACAUAUCUCUGAAACGUUUCUUUGUUGUAGUGUACACGUCCGACAGGUAAAAAGUGUAUGAAACCUUUUGGCGCUUCGCAUAAGGUUUUACACGUGU